rnacentral:ncRNA from 1 species
AAUAUAUUUUAUUUUAGUUUAAAAAUUUAUUGUUAAAUUGAAAAUUAUAUGUAAAUUUUUGUAUUUAUAUAUUUAUUUUAUUCUAAAAGAAUAAGUAAGUUAAUUGCAGUAAUUAAUUUUAAAUAUUAAAGAAAUUUAGAUUUAGCAAUUUUAUAAAAUAUUGAUAAAAUUUGUGCCAGCAAUCGCGGUUAUACAAAAAAUAUAAAUAAAUUGAUUUAGUAGUAGUUAAAUUGUUGAAAAUUAAAAAUUUUAAUUUUAUUAGGUGAAAUUUUAAAAUUAAUAAUAAUAAUUAAUAAAUUAAUUGAAGCUAAAAAAAAUUGAUUAUAAACUAGGAUUAGAUACCCUAUUAUUCAAUUUUUAAUUAUAUAAUACUAAGGUAGUAAUAGAUAUGAUCUUGAAACUUAAAAAAUUUGGCGGUAUUUUAAUCUAUUCAGAGGAACCUGUUCUAUAAUCGAUAAUCCACGAUGGACCUAACUUAAAUUUGUAUUCAGUUUGUAUAUCGCCGUUAUUAAGAAUUUUAUAAGAAAAAUAAUUUUUAAUAAUUUUUAUGAAAAUUAAUGUCAGGUCAAGGUGCAGUUUAUAUUUAAGUAGCAAUGGGUUACAAUAAAAUUAUUUAUACGAAUUUAAAAUUGAAAAAUUUUAUUGCAGGUGGAUUUGAAAGUAAAAUUAUAAAGAUUAUUAAUUUGAUUUUAGCUCUAAAAUAUGUACAUAUCGCCCGUCACUCUUGUUAUUAAUUUAAAUAAGAUAAGUCGUAACAAAGUAGAUGUAUUGGAAAAUGUAUCUAGAAACAA